CCUACGGGGGGCAGCAGUGAGGAAUAUUGGUCAAUGGGCGUAAGCCUGAACCAGCCAAGUCGCGUGAGGGAUGAAGGUUCUAUGGAUCGUAAACCUCUUUUAUAAGGGAAUAAAGUGUGGCACGUGUCCCGUUUUGUAUGUACCUUAUGAAUAAGGAUCGGCUAACUCCGUGCCAGCAGCCGCGGUAAUACGGAGGAUCCGAGCGUUAUCCGGAUUUAUUGGGUUUAAAGGGUGCGUAGGCGGCCUGUUAAGUCAGCGGUGAAAGUCUGUGGCUCAACCAUAGAAUUGCCGUUGAAACUGGCAGGCUUGAGUAUGGUAGAGGCAGGCGGAAUGCGUGGUGUAGCGGUGAAAUGCUUAGAUAUCACGAAGAACCCCGAUUGCGAAGGCAGUCCGCCAGGCCAUGACUGACGCUGAGGCACGAAAGCGUGGGGAUCAAACAGGAUUAGAUACCCUUGUAGUC
rnacentral:rRNA from 1 species